rnacentral:rRNA from 1 species
GAUGAACGCUGGCGGCGUGCCUAAUACAUGCAAGUCGAGCGAACGGACGAGAAGCUUGCUUCUCUGAUGUUAGCGGCGGGCGGGUGAGUAACACGUGGAUAACCUACCUAUAAGACUGGGAUAACUUCGGGAAACCGGAGCUAGUACCGGAUAAUAUUUUGAACCGCAUGGUUCAAAAGUGAAAGACGGUCUUGCUGUCACUUAUAGAUGGAUCCGCGCUGCAUUAGCUAGUUGGUAAGGUAACGGCUUACCAAGGCAACGAUGCAUAGCCGACCUGAGAGGGUGAUCGGCCACACUGGAACUGAGACACGGUCCAGACUCCUACGGGAGGCAGCAGUAGGGAAUCUUCCGCAAUGGGCGAAAGCCUGACGGAGCAACGCCGCGUGAGUGAUGAAGGUCUUCGGAUCGUAAAACUCUGUUAUUAGGGAAGAACAUAUGUGUAAGUAACUGUGCACAUCUUGACGGUACCUAAUCAGAAAGCCACGGCUAACUACGUG